rfam:Ciona savignyi cont_50555, whole genome shotgun sequence.
GCUUAUCCCCCUUCCAGAAUGAAUAUACCCCAUCUCCUCUGAUCUCCGAAGUCAAGCAAUCUCCGGCUUGGUUAAUACUUGGAUGGGUGACCCCUUGGGAAUACCAAGGGGGAAACCC